rnacentral:rRNA from 1 species
ACGCUCGACACCUACGGGAGGAGCAGUGGGGAAUAUUGCACAAUGGGGGAAACCCUGAUGCAGCGACGCCGCGUGAAGGAAGAAGUAUUUCGGUAUGUAAACUUCUAUCAGCAGGGAAGAAACUGACGGUACCUGACUAAGAAGCACCGGCUAAAUACGUGCCAGCAGCCGCGGUAAUCUGAGCGGGCUGGCAAGGC